rnacentral:rRNA from 1 species
UACGGGGGGGGCAAGCGUUGUUCGGAAUUACUGGGCGUAAAGGGCUCGUAGGCGGCCAACUAAGUCAGACGUGAAAUCCCCAGGCUCAACCUGGGAACUGCGUCUGAUACUGGAUGGCUUGAAUUCGGGAGAGGGAUGCAGAAUUCCAGGUGUAGCGGUGAAAUGCGUAGAUAUCUGGAGGAAUACCGGUGGCGAAGGCGGCAUCCUGGACCGAGAUUGACACUGAAAAGCGAAAGCCAGGGGAGCAAACGGG